AUGCAAUUGUCGUGUAUUAACUCCGAUAAUAUGAAAGUCAUCAACACAAUGAAGAAUGGAGGACAAUCGGCGGGAGCGACAGUGGCAGUCUUUGAUGAUUGCUAUUUCUUGGCCUGUGAUUUUCCUCUUACUACGUUUGAACAUUGUAAUACAAAAGCAAAUAAGGUGGCUCAUAAACUAGCUAGGUUAGCAAAAAAAGUGGCAAGGGACUGUUUUGAGGAGUCCUUAGAUGAAAUUGUAACUUUUCUUAUUGACGAUGUAACUAUUAUUACCAAUUCCCCUGCAAAAAAUGUUAUUUCCAAUUAA
rnacentral:rRNA from 1 species